AUCUACACCUGGCAAGGGACAUACCAUGAUCAAGAAGGUGGUUCACCCAUAGCGAGGCUCAGCCAUUGCACUGAGGCUGUUGACUGCCUGGGAAUACCAGGUGCUGUAUGCUAUAUUCUGUAGGAGUGCUGAGGUCCGAUCACUA
ensembl:snRNA U1 U1 spliceosomal RNA